rnacentral:rRNA from 1 species
UUAAGCGACUAAGCGUACACGGUGGAUGCCCUGGCAGUCAGAGGCGAUGAAGGACGUGCUAAUCUGCGAAAAGCGUCGGUAAGGUGAUAUGAACCGUUAUAACCGGCGAUGUCCGAAUGGGGAAACCCAGUGUGAUUCGUCACACUAUCGUUAACUGAAUACAUAGGUUAACGAGGCGAACCGGGGGAACUGAAACAUCUAAGUACCCCGAGGAAAAGAAAUCAACCGAGAUUCCCCCAGUAGCGGCGAGCGAACGGGGAGCAGCCCAGAGUCUGAAUCAGCUUGUGUGUUAGUGGAACGGUCUGGAAAGUCCGACGGUACAGGGUGAUAGUCCCGUACACCAAAAUGCACAGGCUGUGAACUCGAAGAGUAGGGCGGGACACGUGGUAUCCUGUCUGAAUAUGGGGGGACCAUCCUCCAAGGCUAAAUACUCCUGACUGACCGAUAGUGAACCAGUACCGUGAGGGAAAGGCGAAAAGAACCCCGGCGAGGGGAGUGAAAAAGAACCUGAAACCGUGUACGUACAAGCAGUGGGAGCACCUUCGGGUGUGACUGCGUACCUUUUGUAUAAUGGGUCAGCGACUUAUAUUCUGUAGCAAGGUUAACCGUAUAGGGGAGCCGCAGGGAAACCGAGUCUUAACUGGGCGUUAAGUUGCAGGGUAUAGACCCGAAACCCGGUGAUCUAGCCAUGGGCAGGUUGAAGGUUGGGUAACACUAACUGGAGGACCGAACCGACUAAUGUUGAAAAAUUAGCGGAUGACUUGUGGCUGGGGGUGAAAGGCCAAUCAAACCGGGAGAUAGCUGGUUCUCCCCGAAAGCUAUUUAGGUAGCGCCUCGUGAACUCAUCUUCGGGGGUAGAGCACUGUUUCGGCUAGGGGGUCAUCCCGACUUACCAACCCGAUGCAAACUACGAAUACCGAAGAAUGUUAUCACGGGAGACACACGGCGGGUGCUAACGUCCGUCGUGAAGAGGGAAACAACCCAGACCGCCAGCUAAGGUCCCAAAGUCAUGGUUAAGUGGGAAACGAUGUGGGAAGGCACAGACAGCCAGGAUGUUGGCUUAGAAGCAGCCAUCAUUUAAAGAAAGCGUAAUAGCUCACUGGUCGAGUCGGCCUGCGCGGAAGAUGUAACGGGGCUAAACCAUGCACCGAAGCUGCGGCAGCGACACUAUGUGUUGUUGGGUAGGGGAGCGUUCUGUAAGCCUGCGAAGGUGACCUGUGAGGGUUGCUGGAGGUAUCAGAAGUGCGAAUGCUGACAUAAGUAACGAUAAAGCGGGUGAAAAGCCCGCUCGCCGGAAGACCAAGGGUUCCUGUCCAACGUUAAUCGGGGCAGGGUGAGUCGACCCCUAAGGCGAGGCCGAAAGGCGUAGUCGAUGGGAAACAGGUUAAUAUUCCUGUACUUGGUGUUACUGCGAAGGGGGGACGGAGAAGGCUAUGUUAGCCGGGCGACGGUUGUCCCGGUUUAAGCAUGUAGGCUGGUUAUCCAGGCAAAUCCGGAUAAUCAAGGCUGAGGUGUGAUGACGAGGCACUACGGUGCUGAAGUAACAAAUGCCCUGCUUCCAGGAAAAGCCUCUAAGCAUCAGGUAACAUCAAAUCGUACCCCAAACCGACACAGGUGGUCAGGUAGAGAAUACCAAGGCGCUUGAGAGAACUCGGGUGAAGGAACUAGGCAAAAUGGUGCCGUAACUUCGGGAGAAGGCACGCUGGUGUGUAGGUGAAGUCCCUGCGGAUGGAGCUGAGACCAGUCGAAGAUACCAGCUGGCUGCAACUGUUUAUUAAAAACACAGCACUGUGCAAACACGAAAGUGGACGUAUACGGUGUGACGCCUGCCCGGUGCCGGAAGGUUAAUUGAUGGGGUUAUCCGUAAGGAGAAGCUCUUGAUCGAAGCCCCGGUAAACGGCGGCCGUAACUAUAACGGUCCUAAGGUAGCGAAAUUCCUUGUCGGGUAAGUUCCGACCUGCACGAAUGGCGUAAUGAUGGCCAGGCUGUCUCCACCCGAGACUCAGUGAAAUUGAACUCGCUGUGAAGAUGCAGUGUACCCGCGGCAAGACGGAAAGACCCCGUGAACCUUUACUAUAGCUUGACACUGAACAUUGAGCCUUGAUGUGUAGGAUAGGUGGGAGGCUUUGAAGCGUGGACGCCAGUCUGCGUGGAGCCAACCUUGAAAUACCACCCUUUAAUGUUUGAUGUUCUAACGUUGGCCCCUGACCGGGGUUGCGGACAGUGUCUGGUGGGUAGUUUGACUGGGGCGGUCUCCUCCCAAAGCGUAACGGAGGAGCACGAAGGUUAGCUAAUCCUGGUCGGACAUCAGGAGGUUAGUGCAAUGGCAUAAGCUAGCUUGACUGCGAGCGUGACGGCGCGAGCAGGUGCGAAAGCAGGUCAUAGUGAUCCGGUGGUUCUGAAUGGAAGGGCCAUCGCUCAACGGAUAAAAGGUACUCCGGGGAUAACAGGCUGAUACCGCCCAAGAGUUCAUAUCGACGGCGGUGUUUGGCACCUCGAUGUCGGCUCAUCACAUCCUGGGGCUGAAGUAGGUCCCAAGGGUAUGGCUGUUCGCCAUUUAAAGUGGUACGCGAGCUGGGUUUAGAACGUCGUGAGACAGUUCGGUCCCUAUCUGCCGUGGGCGCUGGAGAAUUGAGGGGGGCUGCUCCUAGUACGAGAGGACCGGAGUGGACGCAUCACUGGUGUUCGGGUUGUCAUGCCAAUGGCACUGCCCGGUAGCUAAAUGCGGAAGAGAUAAGUGCUGAAAGCAUCUAAGCACGAAACUUGCCCCGAGAUGAGUUCUCCCUGAGACUUUAAGUCUCCUGAAGGAACGUUGAAGACGACGACGUUGAUAGGCCGGGUGUGUAAGCGCAGCGAUGCGUUGAGCUAACCGGUACUAAUGAACCGUGAGGCUUAACCU